GUUUCACUAUAGCCUUCGGGGACAUCCGAUAAAAUUGAAACGAUAUAGAGAAGAUUAGCACGGUCCCUGUGUAAGAAUGACACGCAUAAAUCGAGACUGUAACCUACGAAUA
rnacentral:snRNA from 3 species